GCCACAUUUAUUUUUAUUUUGAGCAUUUGUUUAAAAAAGCUUUCACUUUCAGUGUGUUGCGUGGUGAAAUCCUGCCCCAAGUGAAAUGAUCAUUACAACAUUUUAGAGCGUUUUUUUGUAGCUGUAAAAAUAGCUAAAUCUGCUUUACUGUGAAAAAUAAGCCCUUUAUGUAAAACAUCUCCAUGAUAUUGGACAGCUGCCUGCGGAUGCUGUCACUAAAGCAGAAAGCAGAUCCAAUCUGUUGUUCUGGUCAAAGAAG